GACGAACGCUGGCGGCGUGCUUAACACAUGCAAGUCGAACGGAAAGGCCCUGCUUUUGUGGGGUGCUCGAGUGGCGAACGGGUGAGUAACACGUGAGUAACCUGCCUUUGACUUUGGGAUAACUUCAGGAAACUGGGGCUAAUACCGGAUAGGAGCUCCUGCUGCAUGGUGGGGGUCGGAAAGUUUCGGCGGUUGGGGAUGGACUCGCGGCUUAUCAGCUUGUUGGUGGGGUAGUGGCUUACCAAGGCUUUGACGGGUAGCCGGCCUGAGAGGGUGACCGGCCACAUUGGGACUGAGAUACGGCCCAGACUCCUACGGGAGGCAGCAGUGGGGAAUAUUGCACAAUGGGCGGAAGCCUGAUGCAGCAACGCCGCGUGCGGGAUGACGGCCUUCGGGUUGUAAACCGCUUUCGCCUGUGACGAAGCGUGAGUGACGGUAAUGGGUAAAGAAGCACCGGCUAACUACGUG
rnacentral:rRNA from 1 species